CCCAGCUCCACGGUGGCUUCGCCCGUGAGUCCUGAGGCAAGCGAGCGCUCGGUCUUUCCCACCGGCCCCAUGGCAGCCCCCGGCACCCCAGCUGAGUACGGCUACAUCUGGACCAUCCUGGGCCAGCAGAUCCUGGGACAACUGGACAACUCCAGCCUGGCGCUGCCCUCCAAGGCCAAGCUGAAGCUGGCAGGGAGCAGCGGCCGUAGCAGCCAGUCAAGAGCCUGCGAAUCCAGGAGCAGGUGCAGCAGAUCCUCUCCAGGAAGGGCCGCAGAUCCGUGGUCAACGGAAAUCUUCACCGAACCAGCGUGUUCCUGAGUAUGUCUACAACCUGCACUUGGUUGAAAAUGAUUUUGUUGGAGGCCAUUCCCCUGUUCCUAAAACCUAUGACAUGCUAAAGGCUGGCACAACUGCCACUUACGAAGGUUGCUGGGGAAGAGGGACAGCACAGUACAGCUCCCAGAAGUCCAUAAGAAAGGUCCUUGAGGCAUCCUCUGAGGAGACUGGAGAUUUCGUUUGUUUGUAG